rnacentral:rRNA from 1 species
AAAUUGAAGAGUUUGAUCAUGGCUCAGAUUGAACGCUGGCGGCAGGCCUAACACAUGCAAGUCGAACGGUAACAGGAAACAGCUUGCUGAUUCGCUGACGAGUGGCGGACGGGUGAGUAAUGUCUGGGAAACUGCCUGAUGGAGGGGGAUAACUACUGGAAACGGUAGCUAAUACCGCAUAACGUCGCAAGACCAAAGAGGGGGACCUUCGGGCCUCUUGCCAUCGGAUGUGCCCAGAUGGGAUUAGCUUGUUGGUGGGGUAACGGCUCACC